rnacentral:rRNA from 1 species
AUUGAACGCUGGCGGCAUGCCUUACACAUGCAAGUCGAACGGUAACGCGGGGCAACCUGGCGACGAGUGGCGAACGGGUGAGUAAUGCAUCGGAACGUGCCCAGUAGUGGGGGAUAGCCCGGCGAAAGCCGGAUUAAUACCGCAUACGACCUACGGGUGAAAGCGGGGGACCGUAAGGCCUCGCGCUAUUGGAGCGGUCGAUGUCAGAUUAGGUUGUUGGUGGGGUAAAAGCCUACCAAGCCGACGAUCUGUAGCUGGUCUGAGAGGACGACCAGCCACACUGGGACUGAGACACGGCCCAGACUCCUACGGGAGGCAGCAGUGGGGAAUUUUGGACAAUGGGGGCAACCCUGAUCCAGCCAUGCCGCGUGCGGGAAGAAGGCCUUCGGGUUGUAAACCGCUUUUGUCAGGGAAGAAACGCUCUGGGCUAAUACCCCGGGGUAAUGACGGUACCUGAAGAAUAAGCACCGGCUAACUACGUGCCAGCCGCCGCGGUAAUAC